UUCCAUUUUGUGCUCUUAAUUUCACCGUGUCAACCCCAAAAGUCUCAAACCUCCCUCUACUCCCAAUCCAUCCCCGAACCACCUCCACCCUCCGAUUCCAUCACCUCGUCACAACCCGAACCACCACCACCGUCCGAUUCCGCCGCCAAUCCAUCAUUUCUCGAACCAUCGCCACCGUCCCAUUCCACCACACUACCUGAACCACAGUCACCACCUUCGUUGUUCCAUUCCUCAGAUACUCAAACCCCCAAACUCUCGAGGUAGAGCGGUUCCGUAUAAGAUUCCAGCUUUGAGUUAAGCUCCUUGCCAUGAGUUUUACUUCGAAAUUCUCAACGAUGGUUCUAUUAUUGACAAAUUUAACGUGCAUGAAAAAGGUGCUUAUAUGUCUAGGCGUUUGGAUCUCUGUGACUUUGUACUUGAACACCCAACUAUUUCUAGGUUUCAUGCUGAGUGGCAAAACGGAACUGGAGAAUCUGCUGGAUUUAAAUCACUAACUGCUUUCUAUCCAAAAGAGCAAUCUAAUUCCAAUGUGAGCGUUGUGAUCACAGGAGUAGGACCGGAUUUCACUAAGAUGGAAUCGUUUGGCAAAGUUGAAGAAUUUGCUGACACUCUGGUUAGUGGAUUGGACAGAAGCUGGAAAAAACCACCUGGUGUGGCUGCUAAACUCAUAGACUGUAAAUCAUCUAAAGGAUUUUACUUCAUUGAGUAUACGCUGCAAAGUCCUGGCGAGAGUCGCAAACAUCUAUAUUCAGCUAUUGGAAUGUUAACAAAUGGCUAGUAUAACAGACUGUAUACAGUAACAGGACAGUAUGGAGAUGAAGAAACAGACAAGUAUGCUUCCAAAAUUCAGAAGGCGGUUUCGAACAAGGAGUAUCAUGGUAUUUUGUUUUUCUUUCUUGCGUCAUAGAUGUGUCUGAGGAAUUUAGUGUUUACACCGAUGAUGAGAACAAGUUCAAGAUAGAGAUUCCUCAAGAGUGGAAAAUAGGAACAGGAGAAUCUGCUGGGUUUAAAUCACUAAUUGCUUUCUAUCCGAAAGAGGAAUCUAAUUCCAACGUGAGUGAUGUGAUCAUAGGGAAAAGUUGGAAUCAUUUGGCAAAGUUGAAGAAUUUGCCUACACGCAGUAUGGGGAUGAGGAAACAGACAAGUAUGCUUCCAAAAUUCAGAAGGGGCGGCUUGAUGUUGAUCUUGAUUCUGAAAAUUUGGCAUCUUCACAUGUAUAUCAAGGGACAGGAAAUGAACAUAACAAUUUGAAUGAAGAAUGGGUAGAUUUUGUCCCUACUGAUGAAAAUGUUGAUGCAUUCCAGGACAAGCAGUCUCCAACUGUGUUUUAAUACUGCCAAUCACAUCAAAACCUCUCAGCGAUUUUACAUUCGCACUCCCCCACUUUUCGCCGGUGAAGAUCGAAGUGUCAUCCAACAUGAUGGAUGCAUCACAUCCCUAAAUUUAGGACGUACAUUGACAAAGCAAUCAUGGAAAUGAAGACGGAGCAACGAAGCGCCCAUGCGAUGCUCUUUCGCAACAGCGCUACACACUGCAGAAUUUAUGAUAGAGAGGGCUUUGGGACAAGUUGUUGCAUAGAAAUUUGGAGAUAGUUGAGCAGAGAUGUUGAACUUGAGCGUCUGGGUUAAGCUUCAAGUUGCGCGGCUGAUAUUGAACCUCCAGGUUGAGCAGUUGAAGUUGAGCAUUCAGGCUGGGCAUCAGGUUGCGCAGUUGCUUUUGAGCAUCCAGACUGAGCAUAGUGUCGUGUUGUUGAUGUUGAGCAUUCAGGCUGAGCUUCAGAUUGUGCUGCUGAUGUAGACCAUCCAGGUUGAGCAGUUGAAGUAGAGCAUUCAGGUUGAGCAGCAGGUUGUGCGGUUGAAGUUGAGCAUUUAGGAUGCGCGGUUGAACUUGAGGCUCCAUAAUUCUUCUGUUAGCUACAAAAAACUACUCUUCACUUUUCUUCUCUUGCUGCUGGCUAGUUUUUAGUUAGCUACGUACGUGUUCUCAACUACUUAAUAAUGAUCUGAGAAAGAAGCUAGCUAGGAUGGAAUACGGUGGUGGGAUAGUGGACGUCGGCGGUGUAUUUGGGACUAUGGUUGGAGGAGAUCAAGGAGAUAUAAUUGAGGAGCUCUUAGGAGAAGGUUGCUGGAUUGAAGCUAGUGAGAAUAAUAUGAUGGCUAUGCAGCAAACUGCAUCGACGCAGCAACAACACUACAUGGCCAAUAAUAUUCCCAUUGGAAUGGGAGAAGGUGACCAUUUUAAUCAUCAUCAAGUUGAUCAGGAAAGUGGUUUUGUUGUUGGGAAGAGAUGGUGGAUCGGGUCGAGGGCGAGUCAAGGUCCAUCGACUUCGGUGAAAGAGAGAUUAGUAGUUGAUGUUGGUUACUUAAAAGAGUACACAAAGAACUCUUCCAACAACGUUCUUAUUCACAUAUGGGUGCCUGUUCUAAGGAGGAGAUCAGCAAUUCUUUAUCUGUAGCAGGAUUCCAGUUCAUUUGUUCCGAUUUUUGUGAAUCCAAACAUGAAUGUUCAUGUUCAAUUCUUUAGAAGCCACGAGUAUCCGCGACAUCAGCAACAGCAGCAGCAAUAUGGUUCUCUUCUAGCACUUCCUGUGUUCGAAAGAGGAAGUGGAACAUGUCUAGCUGUCAUUGAGUUUGUUAUCGCCAAUCAAAACCAAAGAAGAAGAAAACUUAUAUAUGAAGAAAGUGUUAUGACUUAUUUAAAAUAUGAUUUUUAUGUGUAUGAUUUUAUAGUACUUGAAAUAUUAUGACUGCACAUGAUUUUGUAUACUUUUUGCUUAAUAUUAAAAAUAUUUUGACUUAGUUAAAAUAUGAUUUUUAUGUGUAUGAUUUUAUAGUAUUUGCAAUAUUAUGACUGAAAAUGAAAUAUAACUAAAUGGU